AUGGCAUGUGACAGAUUAGAUCAGAUUAGAUAGAACGUUAUUAAUCUCUUGGGAAGACUCCCCCAGGGAAACUGAGGUUCCAGCACCAUUGUAUAGAAGCACACAGGGUAAGAAGCACACAAAGUAUCAAAAGUGAAAGU